AUGGAGCUUAAGACAUAAGGCGACCCACGUCAAAAACCCUCCCCCCUUAAGAGGAAAUGAACAAAGUGGGCCUCACCGAAAUGUCUUCGGUUGGGGCGACCGCGGGGAAAGACCAAACCCCCACAUGGAUUAAGACCACAAUAGCCUUAAAACCCAGACCUCCAAGUCAAAUCAACAGAAUUUCUGACCACCAAAGAGCCGGCAAUGCCGAUCAACGGACCG
rnacentral:rRNA from 1 species